AGAGCGAACGCUGGCGGCAGGCUUAACACAUGCAAGUCGAGCGGGCGUAGCAAUACGUCAGCGGCAGACGGGUGAGUAACGCGUGGGAACGUACCUUUUGGUUCGGAACAACACAGGGAAACUUGUGCUAAUACCGGAUAAGCCCUUACGGGGAAAGAUUUAUCGCCGAAAGAUCGGCCCGCGUCUGAUUAGCUAGUUGGUGAGGUAAUGGCUCACCAAGGCGACGAUCAGUAGCUGGUCUGAGAGGAUGAUCAGCCACAUUGGGACUGAGACACGGCCCAAAACUCCUACGGGAGGCAGCAGUGGGGAAUAUUGGACAAUGGGCGCAAGCCUGAUCCAGCCAUGCCGCGUGAGUGAUGAAGGCCCUAGGGUUGUAAAGCUCGUUUUGUGUCGGGAAGAUAAUGACGGUACCGCAAGAAUAAGCCCGGCUAACUUCGUGCCAGCAGCCGC
rnacentral:rRNA from 1 species